rnacentral:rRNA from 1 species
AGAGUUUGAUCCUGGCUCAGAUUGAACGCUGGCGGCAUGCCUAACACAUGCAAGUCGAACGGUAACAGCGGAAGCUUGCUUCCGGCUGACGAGUGGCGGACGGGUGAGUAAUACAUAGGAAUCUGCCCUGUAGUGGGGGACAACCUGGGGAAACUCAGGCUAAUACCGCAUAAUCUCUACGGAGGAAAGGGGGCUUCGGCUCUCGCUAUUGGAUGAGCCUAUGUCUGAUUAGCUUGUUGGUGGGGUAAUGGCCUACCAAGGCGACGAUCAGUAGCUGGUCUGAGAGGAUGAUCAGCCACACUGGGACUGAGACACGGCCCAGACUCCUACGGGAGGCAGCAGUGGGGAAUAUUGGACAAUGGGGGAAACCCUGAUCCAGCAAUGCCGCGUGGGUGAAGAAGGCUCGCGGGUUGUAAAGCCCUUUCAGUAGUGAAGAAAAGCUGAGUGCUAAUACCACUCAGUCUUGACAUUAGCUACAGAAGAAGCACCGGCUAACUCUGUGCCAGCAGCCGCGGUAAUACAGAGGGUGCAAGCGUUAAUCGGAAUUACUGGGCGUAAAGCGCGCGUAGGCGGUUUACUAAGUCGGAUGUGAAAGCCCCGGGCUUAACCUGGGAAUUGCAUUCGAUACUGGUAGGCUAGAGUAUGGUAGAGGGAAGUGGAAUUCCAGGUGUAGCGGUGAAAUGCGUAGAUAUCUGGAGGAACAUCAGUGGCGAAGGCGACUUCCUGGACCAAUACUGACGCUGAGGUGCGAAAGCGUGGGGAGCGAACAGGAUUAGAUACCCUGGUAGUCCACGCCGUAAACGAUGAGAACUAGGUGUUGGGAAGUUUAACUUCUUAGUAUCGUAGCUAACGCGUUAAGUUCUCCGCCUGGGGAGUACGGCCGCAAGGUUAAAACUCAAAGGAAUUGACGG